rfam:Myotis brandtii contig199931, whole genome shotgun sequence.
GAGCUCACUUCAGCAGCACAAAUACUAAAAUUGGAAUGAUACAGAGAAUAUUAGCAUGGCCUCUGUGCAAGGAUGACCUGCAAAUUCGUGAAGCAUUCCAUAUUUUU